GCAGAGGUUACCUCGUAAAUAGCAUGACCUCUGCUAAAAAAAGUAGGAUGAAUCCUAAGGAAGUUAAUAGCUGAAGGCUGCAGCUACUAGAUUCCAGAGAGUGGCCUGGGGCACAAGAUACUCAACCAGAGCAGACAGUGUCAGCCUCUGUCAUGGAAAGAUUGAACAGGAGAAUCUGGAACCAGGAGUGAGCAGAGCUGGCCCCAGGCCUUGGUGGCUGUGUACUAGUUCUGUGACCUGCAAUCAGUCACUUAACUUCUGUGAGCUCCUCUCUUUCCGUCUGUAAAAAAGGAAUAUGUACUACCCACUUCCUGAGUAGAUGUUGAAGAUGUUGUAAAAGGUUCGAGUCAACCAAUUAAAAGCAAUAGAUCACAUGAAGAUGAGUAUAUCUUCUGUUUGUUGGGACAUAAUCCAGAGAGGAUCUUUCUCCCCAGAUAUUAUGGGAUGGCCACAUUUUACAGCUGAGAGUGACAAGGCUUAGAAACUAAACAUAUAAGGUCCUGCCCCAUCUCCUGGAAGAAGGAAUGCUACACAGAGAGGCUAAGAAGACUCUGGACAGAUCUUGAAUUUUCUUUUACAGUGCAGAAUCUGGAGCUAGAGAAAAAUUUAAAAAGCCACAAGGAUGUGAAUUGCUGAGCCUGAGAUAGAAGAGACACUGUCCUGUGUACCAUUGAUGUGUCCUCUCUCCCUCUACAUUCACUGGUUUAAGGUAUUACAACAAAAUAAAGGUGGAUAUAGUCGAAGGGAAAUAUGCACCAGACACAGUCGGUGAAUAGACAAGAGGACCAGGGUGACAAGCUGCAAAGCUGGAGGAAAUUUAACUGAGCACGUGCGGCCAUUAAGACAUCCUUCUGUGCGCUAAUCAAAUCAUUCGUUUGGGUAAAUGCUGUUACCUUGACAAUAUUAUAUUGAAAGAUAGAUAUUUGAAAAAUGAGCAUGCUAGAAGGAUAUGGGCAGUGAAAAUGAACUUUAGGUAUUACAGAGAAAUUAGAGGAGAGAGCAAACAUCUCAGCAACUGGGGAGCCUAUAUUAGUAUCUGUCAAGAGGCAGUGCUAUCCAUCUUAGCAUAUUAAGCAGAAAUGUAAAUACUGAAACAUUCAUGAAGGGGAAUGAAAACAGGGAAGCUGAGUUACAAUCUAGGGCUCUGACUUGUGUGGACACUAUGCUGACAGGAUAAAGGGAGAAGUAAAAAAGGAUACACAGAAGGGCAAUUUUCCAUGUUCAAGUUUGUUUUCUGUGUUUAUAAAAAUUCAUUUGUAUCAUGACAAUAACAAACAAUUUUUUUAUGUAGUCCAGCAUGGAACUUUUGAGACCAAGUACAGGCUUGAACACAUAUUCCUAGGAUCACAACAUCCCCAGGAAUGUUGCUAUAGAUAUUUAUCUGCACAUUAUUGGGGGUCCUGUUAGUGGUGAGUGGAGUGAGAGGGAAAGAGUGAGAGAGAGAGGCUGAGGAGUUGAUGGCUGAAGUCUCAGCAAAGUCCCACAGCCUGGUGAUUUUGACUCUCCUCUUGCAUGCUUGAAAGCUAGAAUUCAGUUAGCACUACACUUCAACAACCUUGCCCUGAUUGGAAUGAGAGCAGAUGAGACACUUCCCCCCAAAAGGUAUACCAACAAUACCAAUAUGGGAAGCCUGGUGGGAUCCAGUCUACAGGAUCUUCAGGAAUGAGGCUUUCUGUUAAUCAGGACCUCUGCGACCCCCAGCACUGUGCCUCUGCUAGGAUUAAACUGAAGUGAUUUUUUUUCUCCUUCCCAUGAAAAGAAACUCAUUUGUAGAAACAAAGCUAAAGUGACAGGACAAUGCAGAAACAUAUGAAUCCAUUGAUUAGGUCAAACAGUGAUGGCUGUAGGAAACCUUGUUCCUAAAGAUGCAUAAA
rnacentral:lncRNA from 10 species